rnacentral:rRNA from 1 species
AACGAACGCUGGCGGCAUGCCUAACACAUGCAAGUCAAACGAGACCUUCGGGUCUAGUGGCGCACGGGUGCGUAACGCGUGGGAAUCUGCCCUUUGCUUCGGAAUAACAGUUAGAAAUGACUGCUAAUACCGGAUGAUGUCUUCGGACCAAAGAUUUAUCGGCAAAGGAUGAGCCGCGUAGGAUUAGGUAGUUGGUGGGGUAAAGGCCUACCAAGCCGACGAUCCUUAGCUGGUCUGAGAGGAUGAUCAGCCACACUGGGACUGAGACACGGCCCAGACUCCUACGGGAGGCAGCAGUGGGGAAUAUUGGACAAUGGGCGAAAGCCUGAUCCAGCAAUGCCGCGUGAGUGAUGAAGGCCUUCGGUCGUAAAGCUCUUUGGUCGGGGAAGGAUAAUGACGGUACCGCCAGAAUAAGACUCCGGCUAAC